rnacentral:sRNA from 1 species
CCACUGCCAAGUUACUCUAAAAUCAUGCACAGACUGAGCCCUACUACUCCGUACUGGGAUAUCUGAUCUACUCAGAAUCGUGACUGACUGAGAUUCUAUCAACGCUACCAAUUCCAUCCUCUCUGUGCUUUGAUACUUGUUUGUCCUUAAUCUCUCUCUUUCACAAUCAGUCAGCAAAUCCAAUGUUUCUCAUUUUUGAUGCACACCGGCGAUUGGGCAGCAUCCAUUCAUUGAGAGAGCAUGUCAAUGAAAAAAAAAAAAAAAAAAAAAAAAAAAAAGGGGGGCCUUCACGUGACAGAAACAGCAUUUGACUUGCUGCACUGCAAACCAUUAUAUAUCAGGCUCUGAUCAGAGUGUGAGGUCUGGAAGGUCUGGAAGGUUGCAAGGGUGCCAUAUUCGGAUAAAAGAAAUAAAUCUCCUCAAUGAUUCAAGCCUUGCAGAUGAAUUCUUAGUCAUGGUAUCCUUGGAUAGUUUCAAGUAACUAUGACCUGACCAGCAUGUUCUCAAUCCACAAAUGGCAAAGCCUUGAGCCAUGCCUCCCGCUCCACUUGACUCCUAGCCUUGCGGCUUAGGAACCUCUCGAUCCCAUCCGCCAGCUGUCUCUUUGAAAUUUCGUAAUCCUCACUGCUUACCCUUCCGUCCCAGUGCUUAAAACACCCGGUUUCAUUGAUGAAGUCGCUCAUAAGGUCAACCCCUUGGGCCCAUAACUUCUCGUCAUGCUCCUGUUGCUUCACCUCUGUAGCGGAGAAACGCAACGGGCAAGAUAUC